GACGGGCGAUAUGUACAUACCUCAUAGCCUUAUUCAAAUAAAUAUUCUAAUUUUAUUUUACUGACAAAUCCACUUUCAUAGCCAUGUUUAAAAACUAAUCCAUAAUUAAUUAAUUUAAUUGUAGCUCACCACCACUUAACCAUAAACUGCACCUUGACCUGAAGUGAAAAAAUUAUUUUUCUAGAAGACAUCCUAUAAGAGUAGUCUGACAACGGAGGUAUACAAGUUGAAAACAAGGUUAAGAAAGAUCUAACGGGGACUAUCAUUUAAAGGGCAAGCUCCUCUGUUAGGAUAAGGUACCGCCAAAUUCUUUGGGUUUGAAGAAUUCUUUUACUACCCUAGUAAAGCUUUCAAGAAGAAUAACAGGGUAUCUAAUCCUGGUUUAAACUCCCCUCUUAAAACUAACCAUACAAAUUUAAUCAAUAAAUAUAAAAAAUUUUACAGAUUUCACCCUAAUAAUUUUUUAAUCAUAAUUAAAUAAAAUUAAAUGUUAAGUAACUUUAACCUACUAAUUUCACUUGGAUCCUACGUCUAACCGCGGUAGCUGGCACGUCUUUAACCGAUCCUAUUAAUUUAACUAAAUCUAACAUUUAUAAUAUUUAAUAUAAAUUACUACAACUUGGACAUUUCAAAAACUCAUGCUAAUAUAUAAUCUUAACUUAAAACGAAACCAAAGC
rnacentral:rRNA from 1 species